rnacentral:rRNA from 1 species
AGACCCGAAACCCGGUGAUCUAGCCAUGGGCAGGUUGAAGGUUGGGUAACACUAACUGGAGGACCGAACCGACUAAUGUUGAAAAAUUAGCGGAUGACCUGUGGCUGGGGGUGAAAGGCCAAUCAAACCGGGAGAUAGCUGGUUCUCCCCGAAAGCUAUUUAGGUAGCGCCUCGUGAAUUCAUCUCCGGGGGUAGAGCACUGUUUCGGCUAGGGGGCCAUCCCGGCUUACCAACCCGAUGCAAACUGCGAAUACCGGAGAAUGUUAUCACGGGAGACACACGGCGGGUGCUAACGUCCGUCGUGAAGAGGGAAACAACCCAGACCGCCAGCUAAGGUCCCAAAGUCAUGGUUAAGUGGGAAACGAUGUGGGAAGGCCCAGACAGCCAGGAUGUUGGCUUAGAAGCAGCCAUCAUUUAAAGAAAGCGUAAUAGCUCACUGGUCGAGUCGGCCUGCGCGGAAGAUGUAACGGGGCUAAACCAUGCACCGAAGCUGCGGCAGCGACACUGUGUGUUGUUGGGUAGGGGAGCGUUCUGUAAGCCUGCGAAGGUGGCCUGUGAGGGUUGCUGGAGGUAUCAGAAGUGCGAAUGCUGACAUAAGUAACGAUAAAGCGGGUGAAAAGCCCGCUCGCCGGAAGACCAAGGGUUCCUGUCCAACGUUAAUCGGGGCAGGGUGAGUCGACCCCUAAGGCGAGGCCGAAAGGCGUAGUCGAUGGGAAACGGGUUAAUAUUCCCGUACUUGGUGUUACUGCGAAGGGGGGACGGAGAAGGCUAUGUUGGCCGGGCGACGGUUGUCCCGGUUUAAGCGUGUAGGUGUGUGUUCCAGGUAAAUCCGGUUCACUUUAACACUGAGGCGUGACGACGAGGCACUACGGUGCUGAAGCAACAAAUGCCCUGCUUCCAGGAAAAGCCUCUAAGCAUCAGGUAACAUCAAAUCGUACCCCAAACCGACACAGGUGGUCAGGUAGAGAAUACCAAGGCGCUUGAGAGAACUCGGGUGAAGGAACUAGGCAAAAUGGUGCCGUAACUUCGGGAGAAGGCACGCUGACACGUAGGUGAAGUGAUUUACUCAUGGAGCUGAAGUCAGUCGAAGAUACCAGCUGGCUGCAACUGUUUAUUAAAAACACAGCACUGUGCAAACACGAAAGUGGACGUAUACGGUGUGACGCCUGCCCGGUGCCGGAAGGUUAAUUGAUGGGGUCAGCGCAAGCGAAGCUCCUGAUCGAAGCCCCGGUAAACGGCGGCCGUAACUAUAACGGUCCUAAGGUAGCGAAAUUCCUUGUCGGGUAAGUUCCGACCUGCACGAAUGGCGUAAUGAUGGCCAGGCUGUCUCCACCCGAGACUCAGUGAAAUUGAACUCGCUGUGAAGAUGCAGUGUACCCGCGGCAAGACGGAAAGACCCCGUGAACCUUUACUAUAGCUUGACACUGAACAUUGAGCCUUGAUGUGUAGGAUAGGUGGGAGGCUUUGAAGUGUGGACGCCAGUCUGCAUGGAGCCGACCUUGAAAUACCACCCUUUAAUGUUUGAUGUUCUAACGUGGACCCGUUACCCGGGUUGCGGACAGUGUCUGGUGGGUAGUUUGACUGGGGCGGUCUCCUCCUAAAGAGUAACGGAGGAGCACGAAGGUUGGCUAAUCCUGGUCGGACAUCAGGAGGUUAGUGCAAUGGCAUAAGCCAGCUUGACUGCGAGCGUGACGGCGCGAGCAGGUGCGAAAGCAGGUCAUAGUGAUCCGGUGGUUCUGAAUGGAAGGGCCAUCGCUCAACGGAUAAAAGGUACUCCGGGGAUAACAGGCUGAUACCGCCCAAGAGUUCAUAUCGACGGCGGUGUUUGGCACCUCGAUGUCGGCUCAUCACAUCCUGGGGCUGAAGUAGGUCCCAAGGGUAUGGCUGUUCGCCAUUUAAAGUGGUACGCGAGCUGGGUUUAGAACGUCGUGAGACAGUUCGGUCCCUAUCUGCCGUGGGCGCUGGAGAACUGAGGGGGGCUGCUCCUAGUACGAGAGGACCGGAGUGGACGCAUCACUGGUGUUCGGGUUGUCAUGCCAAUGGCACUGCCCGGUAGCUAAAUGCGGAAGAGAUAAGUGCUGAAAGCAUCUAAGCACGAAACUUGCCCCGAGAUGAGUUCUCCCUGAGACUUAAAGUCUCCUGAAGGAACG